rnacentral:rRNA from 1 species
AACGGCAGCACGGGAGCAAUCCUGGUGGCGAGUGGCGAACGGGUGAGUAAUGUAUCGGAACGUACCUUUCAGUGGGGGAUAACGUAGCGAAAGUUACGCUAAUACCGCAUAUUCUGUGCGCAGGAAAGCAGGGGAUCGCAAGACCUUGCGCUGAUUGAGCGGCCGAUAUCAGAUUAGCUAGUUGGUGAGGUAAAGGCUCACCAAGGCGACGAUCUGUAGCGGGUCUGAGAGGAUGAUCCGCCACACUGGAACUGAGACACGGUCCAGACUCCUACGGGAGGCAGCAGUGGGGAAUUUUGGACAAUGGGGGCAACCCUGAUCCAGCCAUGCCGCGUGAGUGAAGGAGGCCUUCGGGUUGUAAAGCUCUUUCGGCCGGGAAGAAAUCGCAUGGGUUAAUACCCUGUGCGGAUGACGGUACCGGCAUAAGAAGCACCGGCUAACUACGUGCCAGCAGCCGCGGUAAUACGUAGGGUGCGAGCGUUAAUCGGAAUUACUGGGCGUAAAGCGUGCGCAGGCGGUUUUGUAAGACAGGCGUGAAAUCCCCGGGCUCAACCUGGGAACUGCGCUUGUGACUGCAAGGCUAGAGUA